rnacentral:rRNA from 1 species
AGGGAAUUGUUCGCAAUGGGCGCAAGCCUGACGACGCAACGCCGCGUGGAGGAUGAAGGUCUUCGGAUUGUAAACUCCUGUCGUGUGGGACGAACAUCUGCCGGGCUAAUCACCGGUGGACUGACGGUACCACGAAAGGAAGCACCGGCUAACUCUGUGCCAGCAGCCGCGGUAAUACAGAGGGGGCGAGCGUUGUUCGGAAUUACUGGGCGUAAAGGGCGCGUAGGUGGUGGCUUAAGCGUGCGGUGAAAGCUCGGAGCUCAACUCCGAGUCGGCCGUGCGAACUGGGCUCACUGGAGCAUAGUAGAGGCAGGUGGAAUUCCGGGUGUAGCGGUGGAAUGCGUAGAGAUCCGGAAGAACACCGGUGGCGAAGGCGGCCUGCUGGGCUAUGGCUGACACUGAGGCGCGACAGCGUGGGGAGCAAAC